GCAGACCCCUCGCAUGGCGUCAUCUUGUGAACCUCCCCAGGGCCGGAAGGCAGCAAGGAUAAACAGGCUCUGGCGGGUGUGCGAGGGGUCCUUUUC
rnacentral:SRP_RNA from 1 species